rnacentral:rRNA from 1 species
AUACGGAGGAUGCGAGCGUUAUCCGGAUUUAUUGGGUUUAAAGGGAGCGUAGGUGGGAUAUUAAGUCAGCUGUGAAAGUUUGGGGCUCAACCUUAAAAUUGCAGUUGAUACUGGUUUCCUUGAGUACGGUACAGGUGGGCGGAAUUCGUGGUGUAGCGGUGAAAUGCUUAGAUAUCACGAAGAACUCCGAUCGCGAAGGCAGCUCACCGGGCCGGAACUGACACUGAAGCUCGAAAGUGCGGGUAUCAAACAGGAUUAGAUACCCUGGUAGUCCGCACAGUAAACGAUGAAUACUCGCUGUUUGCGAUACACGGUAAGCGGCCAAGCGAAAGCGUUAAGUAUUCCACCUGGGGAGUACGCCGGCAACGGUGAAACUCAAAGGAAUUGACGGGG